AGUUCAGCCUCUUUCCUCGAACCCUCUUUCCUUAACCUUCUUCGCUUUUCUCUCUUCUCUGAGCUUCUUCCCCAUCUUUACUCCUCCUUAUGCUUCUCCUUCAAUUCGACGUGAACUUCUUGAUCCCUCCUUCGAGCUUUUUCUUUGCUUUCAUCAGUGCGUGCUUGUGGCUUUUCCCCUUCGUCUUGAACGCUAUCUUCCUUUCAGGUUUGCUCUCAUCUUUCAGAUUUCGUCUUCCUCGAGCUUCCUCUUUCCACUCGAGAGCUCCUCAUUCACAAGCCAUUUCUCUUCACACAAUCUUUUCUUCUUUCAUAUUUAGCUUUUCCAUAGCCUUUGCAACCAUAGAACGUUUGUUCUACCGAUUCAUUAGUCGAUCUACAUCUCUCGUUAGGGCUCCAACCUCUUUUCACCAUUUUCUUCAUUUUCAACCGAUUAAAUCCUCUUUUCUAUCGAUUAAAAGCCUUUCCACCGAUUGAUUCUUUGAAUACCAUCAUUUACACCGAUUAAUCGAUCCAUUUUAGGUUUCCUUCGUCAACCUAGGGUUUUAGGGUUCUUGGCGUCGAAUCCUCUCCGUUUUUGGAGUAUUCAUGGAUUCUCAGGGUUUGUUUUCGUUCUCCACUGAUUCGGCUCUUGGUCUCGAGUUCUCUUCCCAAUUUACAUCAUUCCGCUGCGUUUCUUCAUCGGAGGUGCCUCAUUACAGUUUAAAUCGCGCCUUCAGGCCUUCAUACAAUGAUAUUUGUAUUACCGAUGUUGCGUUUAGGGAGGAUUCAGAGGGCUUUUAAGAUGAGAUCAGCAGAUGAAGGACAAACUACUUUCUAUACAUGUACCCGUUGUGGUCAUCAAUCUCAGGAGAAUUAGUUGUUUACUUUAAGGCUAUCUUUGGAAGGAAUGUACAGGAAAAAUAGAAUGAUCUUUAAGGUUAUUUUGUUCUGAGCACCUGACCCCACUAAGAUUGUUAUCUGGAACUUGGUUAUUAAUUAAUAAGCCAUUUUACCUUAAAUUUCUUUUCUAUAUCAGCUAUAAAUAAUUAAGACUACCUGGAGAAAUGGCGUAGCAAUGCAACCCAAGUAGGCUAGAUUCAACAUAAAAAUUGGGUUGUCUACUCUGUCGAACAUGAAGGUUUUUUGUGGCUUGUAAUAAAAAAGUAGCUUUAGUGUGUAGCCUUACUUUAUGAAAUCAAAUUGUGUAAAAUAUGAAUUACCAAGAAAAUUAUCCUCUGAUUUGGUUUCAAGAAGAGGAGAAAAACUGUGAAUAAUAUAUCAUUCAAAGCAGAAUUAUAUCUGUUAGUUUGUACAUUCCCUACCUUUAGGUGAUACUAAAAGUUCAUAUAUUUGCAGGAUGGUAAGACCUUACGCAAUGGACCUGUUAUUUCUCCUGACAGAUUUUAUUGAGAAGGAUUGUAAUUGAGAUGCUUGAAGUGAAAAUUAGAGAAUUUGUGUGCAAUUUCAACAAUGUAUUGGAAGAGAUAUCAUUAUCCAAACAAAAUCUUUCCACGCCUCUUGAUUGUAUGAAAAAUCGUAAAUUUGAUAUUGUUUGUAUUGUGGUAUAUGCAGUUGGCAACUAUACACAUUUCCAGAUAUUAUUUUCAAGUUGAUGUUACCUGGCUCUAGUUUCUGGGAAAGUAUUAUUUUCUAUUUUUAAUCAUGUUGACAAGUGCUAACUGUGGAGUGCUGUUUCCUGAUUUCUCGGCCUUAAAAAAUAUCAAAAUUUUUCUUAACCAAGCAACCAUGCCCUUUUGGUUUUGUCUCUGGUAUGAGCCCACGGGAUUUGAUUGAAAUACAGAAUAAGGAUUAUUUUUUACAUAGGCCCCACCAAGAGUUCCAAAUAAAUACAAAAUUAUGAAAUGUUGGGUUGAAGCUUCUUCAAUUAUCAAAGAUUGAAAGACGUUAUUUUGUGAUUGCAGGGUUUAGUGAUAGAGAGAAUCCAAGAUUCAAUAUCAGAAGAGGAUAAGAGGUUGAUCUAUCUUGGAGAUGGAAGUGGAGACUAUUGUCCAAGUUUGAGGUUGAAAGAGAAGGACUUUAUGAUGCCAAGGAAGAACUUUGCAUUGUGGGAUCUGAUAUGCAGAGAUCCUUCACUUCUUAAGGUUGACAUUCAUGGUUGGAGUGAUGGAGAAGAACUUGGAGAUGGAAGUGGAGACUAUUCUCCCUUCAUUUCCUCUUAUUGCAAGCUUCAGACUCUGUCAGUCACUCUGCUCAUGAGGCUUUGCCCAAAGCUCUACCAGUUCGACCAUAGUUUCAUGGUUUUGUAACUUUUGCAAUGGACCAAAGUAGAAUAUAACAUGACUAAUUUUUGUCUCAAUAGUAUAAUAGUAUAUAUUGCAUAGUCAGUUACCUCUGCCGUAAUUUCUGUAAUAUCCUAUAACAAUCUAGUUACAAUGAGGUAGGACCAUCCAGUUGUAAACAUCACGUUUUAAUAAAAAUUGAGAUAUAUUUGGUAUUAUUUUUUAUAA